rnacentral:rRNA from 3 species
CCCGUGCAGAAGCGGGCAAGGGUGAGGUUGUUCGCCUAUUAAAGGAGGUCGUGAGCUGGGUUUAGACCGUCGUGAGACAGGUCGGCUGCUAUCUAUUGGGGGUGUUACGGUUCCUGACGGGAACGUUCGUAUAGUACGAGAGGAACUACGAAUGGGUGCCACUGGUGUACCGGUUGUCCGAGAGGGCACGUGCCGGGCAGCUACGCACCACGGGGUAAGAGCUGAACGCAUCUAAGCUCGAAACCCACCUGAAAAAGAGGAACCAUCCGAGACCACUCCUAGAAGAGGAGUUCGAUAGACUCGGGGUGUACGCACCGAGGCAACGAGGUGUUGAGCCCGCGAGCACUAACAGGUCGAGCCACCAUUC